rnacentral:rRNA from 1 species
AGUGAACGCUGGCGGUAGGCCUAACACAUGCAAGUCGAACGGCAGCACAGUAAGAGCUUGCUCUUACGGGUGGCGAGUGGCGGACGGGUGAGGAAUACAUCGGAAUCUACUUUUUCGUGGGGGAUAACGUAGGGAAACUUACGCUAAUACCGCAUACGACCUACGGGUGAAAGCAGGGGAUCUUCGGACCUUGCGCGAUUGAAUGAGCCGAUGUCGGAUUAGCUAGUUGGCGGGGUAAAGGCCCACCAAGGCGACGAUCCGUAGCUGGUCUGAGAGGAUGAUCAGCCACACUGGAACUGAGACACGGUCCAGACUCCUACGGGAGACAGCAGUGGGGAAUAUUGGACAAUGGGCGCAAGCCUGAUCCAGCCAUACCGCGUGGGUGAAGAAGGCCUUCGGGUUGUAAAGCCCUUUUGUUGGGAAAGAAAAGCAGCAGGUUAAUACCCCGCUGUUCUGACGGUACCCAAGGAAUAAGCACCGGCUAACUUCGUG